GCACGUGUGACGCAGUGGUUAGCGUGUUGCUCUUAUAAUGCAAAAGUCGUGAGUUCGACCCUCACCUCGUGCA